rnacentral:rRNA from 1 species
GAGUUUGAUCUUGGCUCAGAUUGAACGCUGGCGGCAUGCCUUACACAUGCAAGUCGAACGGCAGCACGGGAGCUUGCUCCUGGUGGCGAGUGGCGAACGGGUGAGUAAUGCAUCGGAACGUAUCCUGGAGUGGGGGAUAACGUAGCGAAAGUUACGCUAAUACCGCAUAUUCUGUGAGCAGGAAAGCAGGGGACCUUCGGGCCUUGCGCUAUCAGAUGAGCCUAGGUCGGAUUAGCUAGUUGGUGGGGUAAUGGCUCACCAAGGCGACGAUCCGUAACUGGUCUGAGAGGAUGAUCAGUCACACUGGAACUGAGACACGGUCCAGACUCCUACGGGAGGCAGCAGUGGGGAAUAUUGGACAAUGGGCGAAAGCCUGAUCCAGCCAUGCCGCGUGUGUGAAGAAGGUCUUCGGAUUGUAAAGCACUUUAAGUUGGAGGAAGGGCAGUAAGUUAAUACCUUGCUGUUUUGAGUUACCGACAGAAUAAGCA